AAACCCUGUCUGAAUCUGCCGGGACCAUCCGGUAAGGCUAAAUACUCCUCGAAGACCGAUAGUGAACGAGUACUGUGAAGGAAAGGUGAAAAGAACCCUGAACAAGGGAGUGAAAAAGACCCUGAAACCGUGUGUCUACAAGCGGUCGAAGCCUUUAGGGGCGACGGCGUGCCUUUUGCAUAAUGAUCCUACGAGUUACUCCUCAGUGGCAAGGUUAAGUUGUUCAGCAACGGAGCCGAAGCGAAAGCGAAUCUUAAUAGGGUGCUAAGUCACUGGGGGUAGACGCGAAACCUUGUGAUCUACCCAUGGCCAGGUUGAAGUUUCCGGUAACACGGAAUGGAGGACCGAACCGAUAAGCGUUGAAAAGCUUCCGGAUGAGCUGUGGGUAGGGGUGAAAGGCCAAUCAAACUGGGAAAUAGCUCGUACUCCCCGAAAUGCAUUUAGGUGCAGCGUCGAGGUUGAGUUUCAUAGAGGUAGAGCUACCGAUAGGACUAGGGGGCUUCACCGCCUACCGAAUCCUGACGAACUCCGAAUGCUAUGAAAUAUACUCGGCAGUGAGGG
rnacentral:rRNA from 1 species